rnacentral:lncRNA from 1 species
GCCUUACCACGUCAAAGUGUGAGGCUGGAUUAAGAUGAAGAGCCUGGAGGCAAACAGCCUGGCAGCAAAGAGACGAAUCUGGAAGCUGUCGUAUCUGCUCAAGGGACAGGCAACCGUGUGCUGCUCUACCAGUCUCUGCUUGCCGACACCCUGCUCAAGUGGCCGACCUUCCUCCUAAUCAUAGAGCCUAAUCAGUAAAACAGCUGCUGUACUCACUGAGCCCAGGAGGGAGGCGGCUUGCCCCUGAUCCCAGUACUUUGGCGCCUGUUGGUCACGACAGCCUUUGGCACAGAGUUUUCUUUAGGAGCAGCUUCUGGUUCCCCAGCCCAGAGCGGAGCCCGACUUUGAUCAUGUCUAGUUCCCACGGGGAGCAAUGCAUCUCUUCUAGUGGUGGAAAGGUUUGGAAAUCCCAGUGACAAUUGCACAACACUGUGACUGUAACGAAUGCCGUUGAUUUGGACUCCUUAUAAAAUGAUUUAAAUGGCCAAUUUUAUGGAUAUUUUGCCACAUUUUUUUUUCUUUUUUUGGCCACUCUGCAGCAUGUGGGGUUCCCAGGCCAGGGAUCAGUCAGCCCUGGCCAGGGUUCAGACCCAAGCUGCAGGUGCAUGCACUUGCUGCAAUGCCUGGUCAGUCACCCACUGUGCCAGGCAGGAGGUGGAACCUGCAUCCCAGCACUACACAGGCAGCAGCAGAUCCCCUUGUGCCGCAGUGGCAACUCUGCCACCAUUUUUUCGAAAGUGAAAACAAACAAACAAAAAAUCCAAGGAGGCUAAAGGGAGACCAGGCAUGCCCUGCGGGGUUUCCUGAAAUAACAUGGGGCUGGCAGACCAUGCAGUUGGCCCCUGGUCCCACCCUUGCUUGGCUGUACGACCUUGGGUACCUAAACCUCUCAUCCUGAAUGAGGAUAACAUGCUGCCCUCAGGGGACUGUCACGGAGCUCAAAUGCGAUCCAAUGGUGUGGACACUCCCUGCAAACCACUCGAUACUUGUUCGUCAGCACCAUCCUGCUCUCCCUCCCCUCUCCGCAAAGAAAGAAGGCAAGACCUCCAUCAGCAACAAAAUAUAACAGUACUUUUUUCUUCUUGCCUUGAGGCUUACAAUUCUGUUAAAUGGAAACCUCCAGCAGUUAGGACGGGAAGAGAGGAAAUGAAAGGACCCUCUCAGUCUCUGGCUUCUUGCUGUGAAGGAGAUGCUGUUUAUUCUCUUGGGUUGGCUUUUGUGGGACCUCCAGGGAGGGGAUGCUGAGACUCAAGAUGGCAAAGGAGAGCCGCUUGGUGGGACAAAGGCGCCCAAGAACCAUCCCAGCAUCACAGGGCUCCUGGCAUGGGCAGCGGAGAAACGAUGUCCCUGGCCCGUCCCUUCUUCUCCGCUCUAGGCCCCCUCGCCUUGCCUUCAUACCUUAGGUUGCCUUUCCCAUCUUUCUCCUGGGAGAUUUAUUUCUGUCCCUUUUUUUCAUCUGAAGCAGCGGAAAUGAAUCAUCUUUCGGUCUGUUUUGGUAAACAGCCCCACGGCCUCUGACCCCUCUCUGGGCUCUCUCACUGGUUCUUCUGAAGAUGUUCCUAGGCUAGGCCUCACCUCCCACAGUCAAGACCCUCCUGGCUGAUUAUUCUUGGUAAUGUCCCCCUCCCCUGGGACCUGGAGGCUUGACCCCCUCCACCCAGGGGAAGAUGGGAGGUGACACACAGCAUUCCAAGGGAUGAUCCCAUGAGCUGACCAGAGGCGCAGGAGAAGCAAGGGAGCCAGUGUGUUUUGAGGGCUUUGUGUGACUUGUACUGGCUCAUCUUAAUGACCUGAUUAGGUGAUCGCUCCACCUUCAUUCUACAGAAGAGUCCAAGGCUCGGGGAAGUGAAGGAACUUGCCCAAGGCCACACAGCUGGGAAGUACGGAGCCAAGUUUCAAAGUCUGGAUCCCUGGACUUACGCUAUCAUACCAUGCUGCCAGAUGUGUUCACAUGUGUGUAUGCCUGUGUGUUGAACUGGAGAUGCUGGCAGGUCAGUUAGAAGAUCGGCAGCCCAUCAGGAUGGAAACUCAAGAUCCGUGUGCAUUAAGCCUUAGGCAAAUGACAGAUGGGUGCUUGCCUGCAGAGGGUCUGGCAAGUGUGCACAGUGCGUGUCUUACCAGGAGCCUGUGGGUCACUGACGAUGAUGUCAAAGAGGGACAGGGAUGGGGACCAGGAUGGGGAUUCAUGAAAUGCCCAGAUUCAAGACCACCUAAGCCCUGCCCCCACCUCCUACUGAUGGAACUUCACAGAUAAAAGUGCCCAGUGGUGUCCCUGUUGGUGAAACCAUUCUUCCUGGGGAACACAGUCAUGCACCUAUUUAUUGGACUUCUAAAAAUGUGCAGGUGCUGUUUCUAGGAGCUUUGUGAGAUACGGAAAUAAAGCUUCUG